rnacentral:rRNA from 1 species
UACGAAGGGGGCUAGCGUUGCUCGGAAUCACUGGGCGUAAAGCGCACGUAGGCGGACUCUUAAGUCAGGGGUGAAAUCCUGGAGCUCAACUCCAGAACUGCCUUUGAUACUGAGAGCCUUGAGUUCGGGAGAGGUGAGUGGAACUGCGAGUGUAGAGGUGAAAUUCGUAGAUAUUAGGAAGAACACCAGUGGCGAAGGCGGCUCACUGGUCCGGUACUGACGCUGAGACGCGAAAGCGUGGGGAGCGAACAGG